UACGUAGGUGGCAAGCGUUGUCCGGAUUUAUUGGGCGUAAAGGGCGCGCAGGCGGUUCGUUAAGUCCGAGGUGAAAUCUCCCGGCUCAACUGGGAGAGGUCUUCGGAAACUGGCGGGCUUGAGUGUGGCAGAGGGGGGUGGAAUUCCGCGUGUAGCAGUGAAAUGCGUAGAGAUGCGGAGGAACACCGAUGGCGAAGGCAGCCCCCUGGGCCAACACUGACGCUCAGGCACGAAAGCGUGGGGAGCAAACAGG
rnacentral:rRNA from 1 species